ensembl:lncRNA
CCAAUUUUCAAUUGAUUUGACAGAAAAAUUAUUGUUUUAUUCAUGGAUAUUAAUUUGAUUAAUAAAUUGAUAAGCGUUACACGGACCAUCCAGGACACCAGGGCUUGCACAUCCAUUGAUUCAGAAAUCGAGACUCAUCAGACCAGGCAACAUUCUUCCAGUCUUCAACUGUCCAACUUUGUCCAUCCCAUCAGUCACCACAAUGGUCUUAUCUCCGACUACCAAAUGACAGGCAAGGACCAUUGCAACGGAACUGGGACUGAAAGAUCUCUGCUCACAUCACCCAGUAUUUGGAGGAAACGGGAGAGAGCAGGCUGGGUUUUCUAAUUGUUUGCUAGUUAAUAUUCCCCUGGGUAUCAUAGUAUACAUGUCACUGCCUUUAAUAAAGUACCUUAUCCUAAAUACUACUGUAAAUUGCUCUG